CUAAGGUUCGAUUCGAGCGUCAGCGAGAAAGCGUUGCCGCAGGCAACGACCCGAAGGGCGAAGCGCGCAGCGCUGAGUCAUCCUUCCCCCAUCACCA
rnacentral:sRNA from 1 species